UACGUAGGGGGCAAGCGUUGUCCGGAAUCAUUGGGCGUAAAGAGCGUGUAGGCGGUUCGGUAAGUCGGCUGUGAAAGUCCAGGGCUCAACCCUGGGAUGCCGGUCGAUACUGCCGGACUAGAGUUCGGAAGAGGCGAGUGGAAUUCCCGGUGUAGCGGUGAAAUGCGCAGAUAUCGGGCGGAACACCUAUGGCGAAGGCAGCUCGCUGGGACGUUACUGACGCUGAGACGCGAAAGCGUGGGGAGCAAACAGG
rnacentral:rRNA from 1 species